rnacentral:rRNA from 1 species
AGCAGCCGCGGUAAUUCCAGCUCCAAUAGCGUAUAUUAAAGUUGUUGCAGUUAAAAAGCUCGUAGUUGAAUUUCGGGAUCAAUUUGUUGGUCGUGCCUCGGUACGUACUGGCAUUAUUGGUUUCUACCUUCUGAAGAACCUUGAUGUCAUUAAUUUGGUGUCUUGGGGAAUCAGGACUGUUACUUUGAAAAAAAUUAGAGUGUUUAAAGCAGGCAUACGCUUGAAUACAUUAGCAUGGAAUAAUGAAAUAGGACGUUUGAUUCUAUUUUGUUGGUUUCUAGGAUCGACGUAAUGAUUAAUAGGGAUAGUUGGGGGCAUUAGUAUUCAAUUGUCAGAGGUGAAAUUCUUGGAUUUAUUGAAGACUAACUACUGCGAAAGCAUUUGCCAAGGAUGUUUUCAUUAAUCAAGAACGAAAGUUAGGGGAUCGAAGACGAUCAGAUACCGUCGUAG